rnacentral:rRNA from 1 species
CCGGCGCACGGGUGAGUAACACGUAUCCAACCUGCCGUCUACUCUUGGACAGCCUUCUGAAAGGAAGAUUAAUACAAGAUGGCAUCAUGAGUCCGCAUGUUCACAUGAUUAAAGGUAUUCCGGUAGACGAUGGGGAUGCGUUCCAUUAGAUAGUAGGCGGGGUAACGGCCCACCUAGUCUUCGAUGGAUAGGGGUUCUGAGAGGAAGGUCCCCCACAUUGGAACUGACGACACGGUCCAAACUCCUACGGGAGGCAGCAUG